AUUGAACGCUGGCGGAAUGCUUUACACAUGCAAGUCGAGCGGCAGCGCGGGGGCAACCCUGGCGGCGAGCGGCGAACGGGUGAGUAACAUAUCGGAACGUACCCAGUCGUGGGGGAUAACUAUCCGAAAGGAUAGCUAAUACCGCAUACGUCCUGAGGGAGAAAGCGGGGGAUCGCAAGACCUCGCGCGAUUGGAGCGGCCGAUAUCGGAUUAGCUAGUUGGUGGGGUAAAGGCUCACCAAGGCGACGGUCCGUAGCGGGUCUGAGAGGACGACCCGCCACACUGGAACUGAGACACGGUCCAGACUCCUACGGGAGGCAGCAGUGGGGAAUUUUGGACAAUGGGGGCAACCCUGAUCCAGCCAUUCCGCGUGUGUGAAGAAGGCCUCGGUUGUAAG
rnacentral:rRNA from 1 species